GACGAACGCUGGCGGCGUGCUUAACACAUGCAAGUCGAACGGACAGGCCCUGCUUUUGUGGGUUUCCUGAGUGGCGAACGGGUGAGUAACACGUGAGUAACCUGCCCUUGUCUUUGGGAUAACUUCAGGAAACAGGGGCUCUUACCGGAUAGGAGCUCCUGCUGCAUGGUGUGGGUUGGAAAGUUUCGGCGGUUGGGGAUGGACUCGCGGCUUAUCAGCUUGAUGGUGAGGUAGUGACUUACCAAGGCUUUGACGGGUAGCCGGCCUGGGAGGGGGACCGGCCACAAUGGGACUGAGAUACGGCCCAGACUGCAACGGUAGGCAGCAGUGGAAAAUAUUACACAAUAGGCGGAAGCCUGAGGCGGCAACGCCGCGUGCGGGAUGACGGCCUUCGAGUGGUAAACCGAUUUCGCCUGUGACGAAGCGUGAGUGACGGUAAUGGGUAAAGAAGCACCGGCUAACUACGUG
rnacentral:rRNA from 1 species